rnacentral:lncRNA from 1 species
GACUACCCGCUUUCGGACUCCCUCUCAGAGGGCUACCCACUUUGGGCCCCCUCUCAUUGUUGAGAGCUUUUCUGUGGCUCAAUAAAAUUCUUCUCUGCCUUGCUCACUCUCCUGAUUUCUCUUGAUCGUGGGACGAGAACCCAGAGCCUGCCAAACAGUGGCUGCUGCGAAAAGAGCUGUAACGUGUGCUCCUGCUUCCUGAGCUACAGGAGUGAAAAAAACUGCUGGACGCCACACACCCCGAUUUGCUGAGCUGCCAGCGCGGGACCAAACGAGUUGCGACACACCCCCAUUUGCCGAAGCUGCAGGUGGCAGGAACAAACGACAGCUGUUAACACUUCCUGGGGGGCUCAGACCUUGGGACUCCCCAGGCAAAAGCUAGAACACCCCUUGGGGCUCCACAGUUGUUGGCAUCUCCAAGUUUUCAGGGUAUGCAGAUGUUGAUUCCAGAAAGUAUCAUAUGUGGUCAGGAACAUGAGACAGAGAAAGAACGAAAACCCAAAUAAGAAUUUACUAAGUGUUGCAAAAGAUAUGAGAGCCCUGCUGGUCAUAUGACCUGACCUUGCAACAAGAAGCUAGAGGGCAGCUACAGGAAUCUCUAACUUGCUAGCCAUUGAUGUUGGGCUGCUCAUUCAGAAAGACAUCCAGCUUUGAGGAUGAAGCUUCCAGGGAAAAGGGAUGUUCAUUUCUAUUUGCUGCUUUGCUGUCUCCCCUGAAGCUGCCCUCCUACCAAAUGUACAGUUUAGAAAUCAUUUACAUUUGUUAAGCUUCACUGCCUUUCUAUCUAAAGUUAUAAAAAGGAUUCAUCUCAUAGUUUCUCCAAGAACUUCCAUUAAAAAAAAAAACCUUUCUAUUUAAUUAUCUCAAUAUGUGUUCUUUUAAAUUUCAGACAGUACUCUAUGUGUGGAGGAAAUGAGUGGAAAGAUUUAAUAUCGGAAAUGUCCAGGAAGUCACUGAAGUCCAGAAAUUCAUUGUCUUUCUUUUAUUUUCAUCAAUUAUACUUUCUAAGAUGUAUGCAAAAUCUUUGAUGAUGUCCAUUUUAUUCAUUCUACAUCAAUUUUUAUUCCAAAGCAAGGCAUUUUUUCCUAUUAAAAAGCUAUACACUGAAAGAUUUUCCUUGAUCUGCCUUAGUAUAAAAUAGAGAUAGUACAGAAUACCCUUAUUUUAUACUGAAGCUAAUGCAUGCAAAUCAGACUCCAAAUCAGAUUCUGUACUGAUUAUGUCUUCGUUACCAGCUAUGUGGCUCUGGACAGGUUACUUAACCCCUCCAGGACAUCAAUUUGUUUAUUUUAAUAAUGAAGAGAAUAAUAUACCUUAGGUAAAUGCCUAUACUAGAUAAUAAUAAAGUUUGCUGUUAGUAGAAAAUUCCAUAGACCUGAAUGUGAUUGCCAUUAUCACUUAAUUUUAUAAUGUUACCCCUUCCCAAUCUUAAAAAUAAUCACUAAUAUCACCAACAACAGUCUCAUGAAACCUACAAAGACAAUCUUUUGUGGAGUUUGAAGUUUCAAAAAAUAUGUUUCAAUAUACAAAUUUUAUUAUUAAAAUUAAAGUAUAUUACAUAUUUGUAUAUUAUCCCCAUAUGCCCCCUGAAGCCUACUAUAUAUGGUCCUAGACUCUCAAAUAUAGUUAAAUUAUGUGUGGCUGGAAACUUUGACAACAUUUUUGGAAAAGACCUAAAGUAAUAUUUUCCCAUCUUUUGUCAGUAGCAGUUGAAAAUAGAUUUCAAUAAAACAAGUUAAAACCACAUAAUGCUCCAAAAUAUCCCCGGAACAAACCAGUCAAGAAAUACACCCAUUUAUGCUGACUUCAUCAGUUUGAAUUUCUGUUGAAUUAUCUCCAAGUUGGGCUCAUUGUUAAUUUUGAAUUUUGCAGAAUGUUCAUUAACUUCAUAGCUGGCUGUAACUGUGAGUUUGCACUACAUAAAUUUGGACAAGAAAAGAA